AUACGUAGGUGGCAAGCGUUGUCCGGAUUUACUGGGUGUAAAGGGCGUGUAGGCGGGUGCUUAAGUCAGUGGUGAAAUACCGAAGCUUAACUUCGGGGCUGCCAUUGAAACUGGGCAUCUUGAGUGCAGGAGAGGAAAGCGGAAUUCCUAGUGUAGCGGUGAAAUGCGUAGAUAUUAGGAGGAACACCAGUGGCGAAGGCGGCUUUCUGGACUGUAACUGACGCUGAGGCGCGAAAGCGUGGGGAGC
rnacentral:rRNA from 1 species